rnacentral:tRNA from 1 species
GCUCUUGUGGCUUAAUGGUUAAGAGCUUGACUGCUAACCAAGAGGAUGGCAGUUCGAAUCUACCAACUGCU